rnacentral:tRNA from 1 species
GUCACGAUAGCUCAGCAGGUAGAGCACCCGGUCGAAGCCCGGGGUGUCGUCAGUUCGAUUCUGACUCGUGGCA